UGAUCGUGAAACCGCGAACGGCUCAUUAUAACAGCUAUAAUUUACUUGAUCUUGACAACCUACUUGGAUAACUGUGGUAAUUCUAGAGCUAAUACAUGCACCAAAGCUCCGAACGCAAGUGAAGAGCGCAUUUAUAAGAACAAAACCAAGCGGCUUCGGCCGUCCAGUGUUGACUCAGUAUAACUAAGCUGAUCGCAUGGUCUUGUACCGGCGACGUGUCUUUCAAGUAUCUGCCUUAUCAACUUUCGAUGGUAGUGUAUCUGACUACCAUGGUAGUGACGGGUAACGGAGGAUAAGGGUUCGACUCCGGAGAAGGGGCCUGAGAAAUGGCCACUACGUCUAAGGAUGGCAGCAGGCGCGCAAAUUACCCACUCUCAGAACGAGGAGGUAGUGACGAGAAAUAACAAGACCGUUCUCAUAAGAGGCCGGUCAUUGGAAUGGGUACAAUUUAAACCCUUUAACGAGUAUCUAUGAGAGGGCAAGUCUGGUGCCAGCAGCCGCGGUAAUUCCAGCUCUCAAAAUGCAUAGAAUUAUUGCUGCGGUUAAAAAGCUCGUAGUUGGAUCUGUGCUGGCCUCCCGGUCUACCUUCGGGUACGCACUGGAGGGGUUGGCUUUCCUGCAAUCUUCCUGGCCGGUGCCUUUAAUCGGGUGCCGGUGUUAGGGGUUGCGAGUUUACUUUGAACAAAUCAGAGUGCUUCAAACAGGCGUUUCGCUUGAAUGUUCGUGCAUGGAAUAAUAGAAGAGGAUUUCGGUUCUAUUUUAUUGGUUUUAUAGACUGAGAUAAUGGUUAACAGAGACAAACGGGGGCAUUCGUAUUGCUACGUGAGAGGUGAAAUUCUUGGACCGUAACAAGAC
rnacentral:rRNA from 1 species